rnacentral:rRNA from 1 species
UACGUAGGGGGCAAGCGUUGUCCGGAAUCAUUGGGCGUAAAGAGCGCGUAGGCGGCCCUGUAAGUCCGCUGUGAAAGUCAAGGGCUCAACCCUUGGAUGCCGGUGGAUACUGCAGGGCUAGAGUCCGGAAGAGGCGAGUGGAAUUCCUGGUGUAGCGGUGAAAUGCGUAGAGAUGCGGAGGAACACCAGUGGCGAAAGCGACUUUCUGGUCCUUAACUGACGCUGAGGCGCGAAAGCAUGGGGAGCGAACGGG